UUGUGUUUUCUUUGCUAUAAUUACCCUUGUAAUAUUCAGCAUCGCCCGAACAUUUUUGUUACAGCUUUUGAAAACUUUUGUUGUUUACAUUAAUUUAAAUUUGAAUUUGACGCGGUUUGAACUAACGUAAGUUUAGCAACAGUAAUCGAGGUGACGUGGCAUGAUUAGCAUGGAAUUACUGUAGCAAGAUUAUCCGGGUGUUACAAAUCUCCUCCACUACAAGAAAUCUCGUCCCGAGAUUUAGGAGGUAGAAGGAAACAGUGCGGGGUAUUCAUCACGCAGGCGGUCCUCGCGUUCCCAAGUGGCUUCGUCUUCAGAGUGAUUCGACCACUGGACUUUGAGGAACUUGAUCGCCUUCUGACGUGUGCGGCGUUCAGCAUGGUCGAGAAUGCGGACCGGAUGCUCUUUAUAGGAGAGGUCCUGUUGCAAUUCGAGCACUUCAUGAUCCACUGCUCGGAUUGGAUCCUUGAAGCAAUGGCGGAGCUGUGACACGUCGAACACAUCGUGAACCUGAGAAAGGUUUGGCGGAAGCUCCAGUUGAUAUGCCACUUUUCCAUGCCUUUCGAGAAUAGUGAAGGGACCGAUAUAGCGAGGAGCUAGCUUGCCCUUGAUCCCGAAGCGGUGAGCACCCUUCAUUGGUGUAACUCGAAGAUAAGCCUUUUUGCCAGGUUGAUCGACCAUGUCUUUAUGAUGACGGUCAUAAUUACUCUUUUGACGUGACUGAGCAGUCUUGAGAUUCUUGCAAAUAAUGCGAACUUGUUCUUUGGCCUGUUGGAUAAUAUCCGGACCGAAGAGUGGACGUUCCCCAGUUUCUGACCAGUUUAGAGUGGUUCGACACUUUCGUCCAUAUAGCACUUCAAAGGGGGACAUCUUCAGACUAGCUUGGUAGCUAUUAUUAUAAGAGAACUCGGCAUAUGGAAGAGAUUCCUCCCAUAUCGUGCCGAAGGAAAUUACACAAGCUCGAAGCAUGUCUUCGAUAACUUGGUUGACACAUUCAAUCUGUCCUUGCGACUGAGGAUGAAACACAGUACUGAACGACAGGUGCGUUCCCAUAGCUUCUUGGAAACUUGCCCAAAAUCUUGAAGUGAACAAACUACCAUGGUCUGAACUGAUAACCAGUGGAAUACCGUGAAGUAAAACAAUUCUGGCCAUGUAGAGAGUAGCAAGCUGACUAGCAGUGAUUGUCUCUUUGACCGCCAGAAAAUGUGCAACUUUAGAAAGCCGGUCAAUGACGACAAGAAUAGCAUCAUUACCUUUCUGCGAUUUGGGAAAUCCAAUGACGAAGUCCAUUUCAAAAUGGUCCCAUUUCCAUUCAGGAAUAGGUAUAGGUUGCAGAGUUCCAGUAGGCCUUUGAUGCUCUGCUUUGAUACGGCGACAAACGUCACACUUAGCAACAUCACGAGCAAUGUCCUGCUUCAUAUGAGACCACCAGAAUCUUUGACGAAUAUCCUCGUACAUCUUUGUACUACCAGGAUGGAUGGACAGAGGCGUAUCAUGAGCUUCUUGCAUAACCCUUUUAGUCUUAUCCAGGUUUUUCUUCGAACAUGGUACCACUAGGCGGCCUUUGAAAUACAAGGCGACAUCGUCGGCGAUAGUGAAGAAUGAGGGCUUUCCUUCUGCUAGAUGGCAUUUAAUCUCAUGGACUUCAGAGUCAUAACCUUGAAUAGUCUUUAUAUCAGCUACGAGAUCUGGUACGACAACCAGGGUAUUUAGAGAACCCUUAGUAACAACAAGAAGAUUCAUCUUGCGGAACUCCGGGGGAGGGGGAGCGAGUGCUCCAGGUGGAACAAUAUGGAGGUUCAGCUUUCUAAAUUCUUCGACAAGCGAGGGCUGAACUUUGUGAACCUGGAGGUGAUUGCAGUAAGACUUGCGGCUCAAGGCAUCAGCCAUUACAUUAGCCUUGCCGGGGGUAUAGGAUAUACCCACGUCAAAGUCUGCAACAGUCUCCAUCCAUCUCUGUUGACGGAGGUUCAGAUCUGGCUGAGUAAACAAAUACUUCAGACUUUGGUGGUCGAGAUCUCGCAACAAUUACCGAGAAGGUAAUGUCGCCACUGCUUCAGUGCAUGAAUGACAGUAGCAAGCUCGAGGUCGUGAACUGGGUAGUUUUCUUCGUGAGGGCGCAGUUGACGAGAGGCAUAAGCAAUCACUCUGCGCUCUUGCAUUAGGACACAGCCUAAUCCUUGACGGGAAGCGUCGCAGUAAAUGACGAAGUCCUUCUUAGUAUCAGGUGGACCAAGCACGGGGGCAGAAGUCAACUUGUCUUUGAGCGCCUGAAAACUUUCCUGACACUUGUCUGUCCAGUCAAACUUGACACCCUUAUGCAACAGAUUAGUCAGGGGCCUGGCAAUCUUGGAGAAGUUCUCGACGAAUCGACGGCAAUAGCUGGCGAGGCCGAGAAAACUUCGGACUUGCUUCACAUUCUUCGGAGGAGUCCAAUCGAGAAUAGCCUGAACUCGUUCAGGGUUGACGGCAAUACCAUCCUUGGAGAUGACAUGCCCAAGAUAGGUUACUUCGGGGAGCCAGAAUUCACACUUGGAAUACUUAGCAUACAGCUGAUGCUCCCGAAGCUUUUCCAGCACAAGACGAAGAUGUUCAGCAUGUUCUUCCUUGUUCUUGGAAAAUACAAGGAUAUCGUCCAGAUAAACCACGACAAACUUGUCGAGGUAAUCCAUGAAUAUAUAGUUCAUUAGACGAGAGAAGGUGGCGGGAGCAUUCGUUAAGCCGAAUGACAUGACGGUGUACUCGUAUGAUCCAUACCGAGUCACGAAGGCGGUUUUUGGGAUGUCCUCUUGACGAACACGGAUCUGGUGAUAACCCAACCUCAAGUCGAGUUUGGAGAACACUGAUGAGCCAGCCAAUUGAUCAUAAAGAUCAUUGAUCCGAGGAAGAGGGUAUUUAUUCUGAAUGGUAGCUUGGUUUAUAGGACGGUAGUCUUGGACUAAUCGGUUUGUCCCAUCCUUCUUAUUAACAAAGAGAGAAGGUGCUCCCCAAGGAGAGAAACUUGGGCAAAUGAAACCUUUGACAAGAGAUUUGUCGAUUUCCUCCUUAAGCUCAAUGAGUUCAUGCGGCAGCAUCUUGUAGGGUCGUUUAGCUAUAGGGGUGGUGUCGGGUUUCAAGUCGAUGAUGAAUUCGACAGCUCUAGCAGGGGGAAUCCUUGGAAGUUCUUCUGGGAAGACAUCUUGGAAUUCACGAACGACGGGAAUGUUUUCAAUGCCCUCGAGUGGUGCAACGUUCAACGCAUUCAAGGCAUAAAGCCGUGCCUCGGCGUUUUGCACCAGAUGAGCUUGGUAAGUAAUUAUUUCGUCUGAAGGGUGUAGCUGAUGGACGGUCUUAGUGGCGCAAACUAUAGAAGCAGUAUGCGCUUUUAACCAAUUCAUUCCCAGAAUGAGAUCAAUGCUACAGGACUUCAGUACGAUGGGAGAGACAAGGAAUUCCAGUCCUUCGAUUUCUACAGGGACGUCAUUGCAAAUCAUGGAGGUUCGACAUUGGCCCGCAGGGGUGUGUACUAAUAGUGAAGCAUUCAUGUCCUCACAUUUAAUGUCGUGCCAGCAUGCAAAAUCUUCUGACAUGAAUGAAUGCGAUGCACCUGUAUCAAAUAAAAUGGAUGCUGGUACUGAAUUUACAAGGAGUGUACCCAUCACAGUAGCAGGCCGGUCUUGAGCUUCGUUCAGAUCAACGUGGUUGGCAUGAACACGACCAUAAGACUUGGCAUUGUUGCUACGGGGCUGGUUGCUUCCACGGCCAGUUGCUGGAAGGGCCAGUUGAUUCUAGUUCUGGUUGCAUUCCCUAGCACGGUGCCCUGGUUGUCCAUACCUGAAGCACAACACAUUAUUGGGAGUGGGAACAAGAGUUUGUGGUGGUGGAGCUGGAAGUCUUGGCUGCCUAGUUGGUGGAGCAGGCAGACGAGGUGCAGCAUAGGUCUGCCUUGGGGAAGGUGCAUUCGGCUGGUACAUGCUGUUGGGAAUCCAUAUCUUGUGCUUUUGCGAGGACGGGCCCGAAGAUGAGCUCGUGUCACGGGUGCGCCUGUGAGAGCCUUGGUAUUCCUGCAGACCAGUUUCAACAUUGAUGGCCUUGUUCACCAGGGUGGCGAAAUCAGCAAAGUCAUGCACUAGAAGUGCGAGCUUGAUGUCAGCUUGAAGGCCAUCACGGAACUUCUCCUGUCUGCGUGCAUCAGUUGCAAUGUCCUCUUCAGCAUAGCGAGACAAGUCCAGAAACUCCCGCUGAUAAGCUUCAACAGUCUUGUUGCCUUGGGUGAGGUUGCGAAACUCGCGCUUCUUACGGUCCAUGACUCCCUGAGGAAUGAAGCGAGCAUGGAAGGCAGCUUGGAAGUCUGGCCAGGUGAUGAUUGUUCCAACUGGCAGAGUACGCCUGUGGCUGUCCCACCAUUGAGCUGCGGGUCCCUUCAAGAAGAAGGAAGCAAAGGUGACAUAGCUGGCAGGGGCUACAUCAGCAGACUCCAUUUUUUUUCCUAGGUGAUGUCACGGAGCCAGUCAUCAGCAUCCAGAGGCUGAGUUGAGCUGCGGUACACAGUUGGGUUCAGGCGCAUGAAAUCCUGCAGAGUUACUGGGGUCGGUUGUUGGUUCAUAUUGGGGCGAGGAAACUGAGCCAUCAUAUUCUCCAUGAACUGGCGAUUCAUCUCAAGCUGUUGGAUCAUACCAGCCAUGUACUCAGGCGGUGGUGGGAGGUUGCCACCACGUCCACGACCACCUGGUCUAACCAUCCUGCUAAUAUAUAACAGGGGUAGUUUAGCAUUGAGAAAUUUGCAAAGACAAGAAUCAUUCAUGAUGAAACAUGCACAAUGAAAGCAGCAUGAUAGAUACUACAUAGUAGUCGGCAUAUCUUACAAAAGCGAUCAUGCAUAGAGUUCGGUACACAGAGAUCAGUACAUAGACUAAUACAUCAUAGGCGGCACGCAGGCUCGCGGCAAAUGCAUCUAACACUAACAAGCAAGCCUACAUCAGUCCCAGGAGGAACUGUGGAGGUAGGUGUAGCCUGACAGCUGGUAGUGACGCGAAGGGAAGACCUCCACGCGAGUAGCCUGGGGUCCGCGGAUACUCUGGUGCGGAACCCGAUGCGCAGGUGGCAGGAGAGGACCAAGUACAGGAGAGUAGCCUCCCACCUCUGGCCAGCCGACGCCCUGGGGCAUCACGGUCCUGGCAGGGUAGAUCGCAGAACGCGAUAGAUCACCAGAGUGGACAGAGGGGUGCAACAGCGUCAGAGCACGAUAUAGGUGCUGACGGGUGGUGUACAGCUCGUGGCGAAGAGCUCGGUUAGCUCGAUCCAGCCCAUCAGCAUGCAGAACCAGGUUCUGAUGGUAGAAGGGCUCUCGGGUGACAGUGGAGUAGGCAGAAGUGUAGUAUCCCUCCGCACCAACAUCGGAUGUGAUAGCAAUGUGCCUGAAGGGGGAGGUAUCCAACUCCUGAUACUCUCCACGAAGACGUGUCAGAGCAGCAUAAGCAGCAUCGUGGACCACCAUGUCGAUGGUCACUCCAACACCAUGAGCAGUGUGCAGCACGGUAGUGGAGUCAUACUCUCGAGAGUAGAGGUGGACGAUGGCACAGUACUGCUCCUGGUUGAAGUCCUGAGGAGUGGUGUACUCAGGGUGCCAGCGAUAACCCAGAUAGGUCAUCAUCUCAACCAACACAGCAGGUGAUCCUGAGGCACCAAUGGCCGUCGUGUGGCGCACGACCUGUCUCGCGGGUUCCAACUGAAAACAAAGAUGUUUCAAAGGAGUCAACUGACAGUGUGGAUAAUUCAAUAUACUACUCUAAUGAAUAGCUAGGGAUUAUCCAACUUUGGGGUGAACAUGGUCACGGGAUCCUAAUGUUAAAGUUAGUAAAAUCGUUUAACCCGAGUAGGAGAGAGUUCAAAGUCCCAGAGUAAGGAUCGAGGAGUAAAAGAUCCUAAUACCACCCAGAUGGCGACGUAGGCCCGUAAGGCACACAGCCAUGUUAGUAAAAGUUUUUGUAAUGUCUAGACUCAACUUCGGCCAAGGAGUGUGGAAGGGGGAUUCCUACAGGCAGUCGGCUCUGAUACCAACUUGUGACGCCCCCGAUUCAAUCGUACACUAAUCAUACACGCAAACGUGUACGAUCAAGAUCAGGGACUCACGGCAAGAUAUCACAACACAACUCUACAAAUAAAAUAAGUCAUACAAGCAUCAUAUUACAAGCCAGGGGCCUCGAGGGCUCGAAUACAAGAGCUCGAUCAUAGACGAGUCAGCGGAAGCAACAAUAUCUGAGUACAGACAUAAGUUAAACAAGUUUGCCUUAAGAAGGCUAGCACAAACAGGGAUACAGAUCGAAAGAGGCGCAUGCCUCCUACCUGGGAUCCUCCUAACUACUCCUGGUCGCCGUCAGUGGGGUGCAUGUAGUAGUAGGCACCUCCCGAGUAGUAGUAGUUGUCGUCGACGGUGGCGUCUGGCUCCUGGACUCCAACGUCUGGUCGCAGCAAUCGGGUAGAAGGGAAAGGGGAAAAGAGGGAGAAAGCAACUGUGAGUACUCAUCCAAAGUACUCGCAAGCAAGGAGCUACACUACAUAUGUAUGCAUUGGUAUCAACUGGAAUAAGGCUAUCAUAUGUGGACUGAACUGCAGAAUACCGGAAUAAGAGGGGGAUAGCUAGUCCUUUCGAAGACUACGCUUCUGGUAACCUCCAUCUUACAGCAGGAGAAGAGAGUAGAUGGUAAGUUCACCAAGUAACAUCGCAUAGCAUAAUCCUAACCGAUGAUCCUCCCCUCGUCGCCCUGUGAGAGAGCGAUCACCGGUUGUAUCUGGCACUUGGAAGGGUGUGUUUUAUUAAGUAACCGGUUCUAGUUGUCAUAAGGUCAAGGUACAACUCCGGGUCGUCCUUUUACCGAGGGACACGGCUAUUCGAAUAGAUUAACUUCCCUGCAGGGGUGCACCACAUAACCCAACACGCUCGAUCCCAUUUGGCCGGACACACUUUCUUGGGUCAUGCCCGGCCUCAGAAGAUCAACACGUCGCAGCCCCACCUAGACCAACAGAGAGGUCAGCACGCCGGUCUAAACCUAAGCGUCCAGGGGUCUGGGCCCAUCGCCCUUAGCACACCUGCACGUUGCGUGGGCGACCGGAAGCAUACCUAGCCUAGCAGGUGUUCCAGUCCAAUCCGGCGCGCGCCACUCAGUUGCUAACGUCACGAAGGCUUUGGCUGAUACCACAACGUCGAGUGCCCAUAACUGUCCCCGCGUAGAUGGUUAGUGCGUAUAGGCCAGUAGCCAGACUCGGAUCAAAUACCAAGAUCUCGUCAAACGUGUUAUUUUGAAAUAACCGCGAACGCUGACCAGGGCCAGGCCCACCUCUCUCCUAGGUGGUCUCAACCUGCCCUGUUGCUUCGCCACAAAGAUCCACUCAGAGGGCCGUCGGGACAAACAUCCUUUCGGACCCAAUCCGUGGAUCACUCGCGGGUACUCCUACGAGCCGACCCGUCUUUAGUCACCUCAAGUAUCAUAUAUAAAGUAUAUAGUAUAUACCCGUGAUCACCUCCCGAGUGAUCACGGCCCGAUAGUAUAGCAAGGCAGACGGACAAGAAUGAAGGGCCACUGAUGAUAAACUAGCAUCCUAUACUAAGAUUAGGAUUGUAGGUAAAGGUAACAACAGUUGUAGCAACAAUGACAGGCUAUGCAUCAGGAUAGGAUUAACGGAAAGUAGUAACAUGCUACACUACUGUAAUGCAAGCAGUAUAGAGGAGAGUAGGCGAUAUCUGGUGAUCAAGGGGAGGCUUGCCUGGUUGUUCUAGCAAGAGAGAGGGGUCGUCAACACCGUAGUCGUACUGGGUAGCAGCGGCGUCGGUCUCGAUGUCUAGCGAGAGAAGAGGGGGAAGAAACAAUAAAUAUAAUGCAAACAAAUGCAUGAUGAUGCAUGACAUGACAAAGCGUGAUGCUAGGUGUGCCCUAACGCGGUACGAGGUGGUACCGGUGAAGGGGGGAACAUCCGAGAAAUUAUCCUCGGUGUUUCACGUUUUCGGGCAAAGGAGCCGGUGGGGGAAAGUUGCGUGUUCGCUAUGUUAGGGAUGCGUGGCGGAUGAACGGGCUGCGCAUCCGGGUUCGUCUCGUUGUUUUGAGCAACUUUCAUGUUGAAAAUGAUUUAAUCCAAGUUAUGGAUUAAAAGAUAUGAUUUUCUAAAGAUUUUAUUAAUUUUUGGAAUUUAAAUAAUUAUUUAAUUUAACCCGAAAAUGGAUUUAUGACAUCAGCAUGAUGUCAUGCUGAUGUCAGCAUUCAACAGAGGUGUUGACUGGUCAAACUUACGUGUGGGUCCAGUGGGACCCACCUGUCAUACUCUGUUUAAGUUAAUUAGGAUUAAACUAAACUAAUUACGGUUCAGUUAAACUAACUAGUUAAUUAGACUAAUUAAACAGGGUUAAUUAACUUAAUUAAUUCACUAAUUAAUUAAAUAUUAAUUUUAUAAUAUUAUUUCUAAAUCUUUUAAUUCUCAAUUCUUUAUUUUAACGUUCUAGGGGUGGACCCCGUUGUCCAGUGGCCCAGGCUUUAACGGGCACAGGGGGUUCGGGCGCACGGGCGCAGCCACGAGGGCACACCCGGCUGGGCGCGCGGGCGCCGAUGGGGUCGGGGAGAGGGGCGGCCAGCGCCGGCGAGCGGCGGGGCCGGCAGGAACAGCUGCAGGCCGCGGGGCGUGCGCGGCCAACGGCCGGCGGCGACGCCAGGAGAGGGGCGAGGCCAUGGCCGAGGUGGCCGGAGCAGGGGAGGUGGUGUCGCAAGGCGGGGCCGUAGGCCACGAUGCCGGCCAGGCGGUCGGAGCGGUGACCGCCGCGGCGGGAGGCGGCACAGGGACGUGGGGACAUGGGACGAUGGAGCGGGUGUCUUCGGGCGAGGCGAGCACGAAGCAACAACAGCAGUAUGCAGGGGGUGCGGCCUCGGGCGUACAGGGUGAGGCCACAAUGGGCGCGGGCCUCGACGGCCAGAGCGUGGGAGGCGCGCGGGGCGCCGUAGUGCGCGCCGGCGCACGCACGUGUGACGCGAGGGAGUGGCGGGCAGUGGCGCACGGGAGGAGGGGAGCACGGGGCGAGGGAGAGGGAGGAGGGCAUGGCCCUCACCACGCGGACGUAGGGGCUAUCGCAGCGGCUCGACGGAGGUCGGGGAGGUCCGACGAGGGAGAUCCGGUGACGGGCGGCGUUUCGGGCAGCAGCGGACGACGGAGACCGGGCGCAGGACGUCGGGGGAGACGCGGCAGGCGCGGCGAGGGGCGCCGCUGAGGGAGAGGGGGCGGGGCCGCGAGGAUGAGGGUGGAGGUCCGGCGGCGGCGGGCGUCGCCAGGGAGGCGGGAUGGUCCUAGGCGGCGGCGUCUGAGCCCUCCCUUUUCCCGAUCCAGNNNNNNNNNNNNNNNNNNNNNNNNNNNNNNNNNNNNNNNNNNNNNNNNNNNNNNNNNNNNNNNNNNNNNNNNNNNNNNNNNNNNNNNNNNNNNNNNNNNNNNNNNNNNNNNNNNNNNNNNNNNNNNNNNNNNNNNNNNNNNNNNNNNNNNNNNNNNNNNNNNNNNNNNNNNNNNNNNNNNNNNNNNNNNNNNNNNNNNNNNNNNNNNNNNNNNNNNNNNNNNNNNNNNNNNNNNNNNNNNNNUCCAGAUCGGGAUUGAUGGGGGGGUUGAAGGAGAGACGUGCGGGAGUAGGAGGGGGCGAGUGGGGAGUGGGCUAGGUCAUGGGGGGAGAGGGGGGUUAGGUAGUGGGGUGGCUCGGUCCGAGUGGGCCGGCCAGUUGGGCCGAGGCCUAGGUGGGCCAAGGGGGCCUUUUAUUCUUUUUUCUUGUUUUGUUUUGUUUUCUCUUUUGUAUUUUCCUUUUCUUUUAUUUCUUUUCCUUUUCUGUUUUAAUUAAUUUUAGCACGUUCAAGGAUUUUAUAAAAUUGUGUUUUCUUUACUAUAAUUACCCUUGUAAUAUUCAGCACCGCCCGAACAUUUUUGUUGCAGCUUUUGAAAACUUUUUUUGUUUACAUUAAUUUAAAUUUGAAUUUGACGCGGUUUGAACUAAUGUAAGUUUAGCAACAGUAAUCGAGGUGACGUGGCAUGAUUAGCGUGGAAUUACUGUAGCAAGAUUAUCCGGGC
rnacentral:lncRNA from 1 species